CAAUAUGUUCAGUGGAGGGGUGCUUAAGAGUGAGAACCAUGGUCAAUUCCUGGAAAUUGAUGUUGUUUUGUGGGAAUGUGUAGGUUAACCAUAGGCGGUGGAUCUCAUGGCUGCAUGACUCAAGCAUGAAGCCUUGUAAGAUGUGCUUUAGUCGGGUACAAUAUGUUCAGUGGAGGGGUGCUUAAGAGUGAGAACCAUGGUCAAUUCCUGGAAAUUGAUGUUGUUUUGUGGGAAUGUGUAGGUUAACCAUAGGCGGUGGAUCUCAUGGCUGCAUGACUCAAGCAUGAAGCCUUGUAAGAUGUGCUUUAGUCGGGUACAAUAUGUUCAGUGGAGGGGUGCUUAAGAGUGAGAACCAUGGUCAAUUCCUGGAAAUUGAUGUUGUUUUGUGGGAAUGUGUAGGUUAACCAUAGGCGGUGGAUCUCAUGGCUGCAUGACUCAAGCAUGAAGCCUUGUAAGAUGUGCUUUAGUCGGGUACAAUAUGUUCAGUGGAGGGGUGCUUAAGAGUGAGAACCAUGGUCAAUUCCUGGAAAUUGAUGUUGUUUUGUGGGAAUGUGUAGGUUAACCAUAGGCGGUGGAUCUCAUGGCUGCAUGACUCAAGCAUGAAGCCUUGUAAGAUGUGCUUUAGUCGGGUACAAUAUGUUCAGUGGAGGGGUGCUUAAGAGUGAGAACCAUGGUCAAUUCCUGGAAAUUGAUGUUGUUUUGUGGGAAUGUGUAGGUCAAUUCCUGGAAAUUGAUGUUGUUUUGUGGGAAUGUCCCAACAAUGACCCGACUUUGGGUGCUCAUUUCCCGCAGACAUGUGAUAGAGAGAGUGCCUGUCUGGAAACUAAGUCAACAAGUUGGAAUAUGGAAGUGCACAUCCAGAAUAUCAACUCCCCCACUUUGAGUGCUCAU